GAGAGUUCACUCCCCAAACCCCUGUGACAUACCUUAUGUUGCCUCGGCGGAUCAGCCCGCGCCCCCGUAAAACGGGACGGCCCGCCGCAGGAACCCCAAACUCUGUUUUUAGUGGAACUUCUGAGUAUAAAAAACAAAUAAAUCAAAACUUUCAACAACGGAUCUCUUGGUUCUGGCAUCGAUGAAGAACGCAGCAAAAUGCGAUAAGUAAUGUGAAUUGCAGAAUUCAGUGAAUCAUCGAAUCUUUGAACGCACAUUGCGCCCGCCAGUAUUCUGGCGGGCAUGCCUGUUCGAGCGUCAUUUCAACCCUCAAGCCCAGCUUGGUGUUGGGAGCUGCGUCCGCGCACUCCCCAAAUACAUUGGCGGUCACGUCGAGCUUCCAUAGCGUAGUAAUUUACACAUCGUUACUGGUAAUCGUCGCGGCCACGCCGUUAAACCCCAACUUCUGAAUGUUGACCUCGGAUCAGGUAGGAAUACCCGCUGAACUUAAGCAUAUCAAUAAGCGGAGGA
rnacentral:rRNA from 1 species